CUGCCACCCAGCCAGGAAAGCAGAUACCCCAAAGAGGGAAAGGCUGCUGUGCAAAAGGUUUUGGUAUCUUGCAGUUUGAGUAAAAGCAAGCUCCUGUUAACAUGAGGAGAUGCAGACAUUGUGUGCUACACCUGCACUCCCUGUCACCAGCUGCUGUUUAUGAAAUGCAGUUUUAUCCAAGAAACAGUCUCUACCUGCUCACUCAAUUGUGUUAAAAUUCAGCUGCAACAUGCAUGAGAUUUGUGACCUUGUAUUAUUAAAAGUGCCAAAUGCAACAGGACAAACAGCCAUCUGACUUGUUGGGGAUUAAUUAAUACCUGUGAAGCCAAAUGGAGUCAGCAACUUUCAGCAGCUUUGGAGGAAGUCAUUUAAUGAAGUCACAAGCAGAUGAAACCGAGGCUCCAGACAAAAAUUCGUUAUCCAUUGAAUGCUAUGCAACCUCCCCUUGAACUCAGCUAAUU